rnacentral:rRNA from 1 species
CCUACGGGUGACAGCAGUGGGGGAUAUUGCACAAUGGGGGGAACCCUGAUGCAGCGACGCCGCGUGGGUGAAGGAGUGCUUCGGCAUGUAAAGCCCUAUCGGCAGGGAAGAAGCAAGACGGUACCUGACUAAGAAGCCGCGGCAAACUACGUGCCAGCAGCGGCGGUCAUACGGAGGGGGCGGGCGUUACCCGGAUUCACUGGGUGAAAGGGGAUCGUAGACGGCCAUGCAGGCCAGGGGUGAAAGCCCGGGGCCCAACGCCGGGACUGCCCUUGAAACUGUGCGGCUGGAGUGCGGAAGGGGCAGGAGGAAUGCCUGGUGUAGCGGUGAAAUGCGUAGAUAUCAGGAGGAACACCGACGGCGAAGGCGGCCUGCGGGACCGCGACUGACGUUGAGGCUCGAAAGCGUGGGGAGCGAACAGGAUUAGAUACCCCUGUAGUC